GAUGAACGCUGGCGGCGUGCCUAAUACAUGCAAGUAGAACGCUGAAGCUUGGUGCUUGCACCGAGCGGAUGAGUUGCGAACGGGUGAGUAACGCGUAGGUAACCUGCCUGGUAGCGGGGGAUAACUAUUGGAAACGACAGCUAAUACCGCAUAACAGUAGAUAUUGCAUGAUAUCUGCUUGAAAGGUGCAAUUGCAUCACUACCAGAUGGACCUGCGUUGUAUUAGCUAGUUGGUGAGGUAACGGCUCACCAAGGCGACGAUACAUAGCCGACCUGAGAGGGUGAUCGGCCACGCUGGGACUGAGACACGGCCCAGACUCCUACGGGAGGCAGCAGUAGGGAAUCUUCGGCAAUGGACGGAAGUCUGACCGAGCAACGCCGCGUGAGUGAAGAAGGUUUUCGGAUCGUAAAACUCUGUUGUUAGAGAAGAACAAGUGCUAGAGUAACUGUUAGCACC
rnacentral:rRNA from 1 species